GGUGUAGCUUAGUGGUAGAACAUCUGCCUUUCAUUCAGAAGGGUCUGGGCUCAAUCUCUGGCUUCUCCA